ensembl:lncRNA
CGCCUCCUCGCCGAGCUAGUCCCGGGACCCGUACGCCACCAGCCCUGCCCGCGCAGGGACCACGACCAGGUGACCACGACGGGGCCCAGGCGCGGCCACUCCUCAGUGCCGGCUCCGGGACCGCCUUGUGGAGAGCACACCUGACCCGCGUUUGAGGCCCGCGACCACAAGGCGAAAGGAUGGCGUUGAUCCUUGUGCAAAGAGUCUUUAAAUUAAGUAUGUUUAGGCUCUCCGAGCUGUUUUCUCUUGGAAAGCGUCUUGGUAGGAAAACAAAUGGAAAAUGGUACGCAGCAGGGGCCAAAGGAUUCCACUAGUUCCUGAAACAGCUUCAGACACCUUGAUGUUUCUUGAACCCGUUUGUCGGACUUUUCAGAAACUCAGAGAAAUUCAUUUGUGUUUUAGGAAUGCAAGUGCGAAUGGAUGUAUAUCCUGCUUUCAAGAAAAGGAUUUUUCUUGUUCGUCUAGUGCCUGCUAGAUGCCGGUCCAGGAAUUUAAUUGGAACGGAUACCUGGUUCCCCAAGUGAAGGAAAGGUGUGAUAAUUCUCUUUCCUUUAGCCUGAGCAAGGACAGAAACGUGCCGGCAUUCAUUUGAGGAUUUUAUUACCAGUGGUCUGGCCUCCCCGAGAAUACUGGACAGAGUAUCUCACUAUUGCAGAAGGGCUGUCCUCGUUUCCAGUGUAUUGGUUUGCUCUGCGCUGGACGGAACGAGGUGGUGGGCGGGACCGAGGAAAUCAGUAAAGAAGGCCCCGGAGGGAAUGGUGCGAAGAGCCGGAGGAGUUGCCCGGGAGGACUGGACUUCAACACAGAAAAUGAGCCAGGAACCCAAACUGAGGAACCCAUCCCACUUGUGUUAUUUUCUUCAUUCAACAGUCUUUUUGAGUUCCUAUUAUGGCCAAUACUGUGCCAUAGGAUAAACACAAAAGAAUUCAGAUGCCCUCACCACUGUGCAGUCAUAGAGACAGUGCUGGUCCUGCAGAGAGAAUGAAGCUACCAAAGAGAACACAGAUACAGGAUGCUCAAGUUAAACAAAACCACAGCAGCACAAAGUCCUUACCAUUAGAAAGUUAAACAGACAUCUGGAAAGCUGCAAAGCAAACUGGAGAGAGGCCAAGGCUUCACUAGAAAUCACUGAUGGGGAUUUCAUACUUAAUGACUUUUCCUUGAGCAAGUGCAAAAGCAAAAAGCUGAAGAACUGUCUUUGAUGAGCACUAAGAGUCCUGAAAUAGAAUGGGACUCACAGAAGGACAAGAACUACAUAGAUCACCCAGAAGAGGGUCCAGAAGGAAUACAGAUUAUUCUCAGCCACACUGCAUAGGUUUAUCAUCAGUUCUUUAGUGAGGAAGAACAAGAAAUCAAUAGCAGACCCACUCUAAAAUCUUUACUAUAAAGAUCUCAUUAUAGUAUGGAUUCAGUCAUUCUUUAAAAAAAAAAAAAUCUUUGUAAGUGCCAGACAUUGGAGACACAUGGUUAACAAGACAAAUACAGACCCUGCCCACAUGGGCUUUAUGAUCCAAUAAGAGAGACUGGUAUUAACCAAGUAAUCACACAAAUGUCAUUGCAAGCUUUGAUCAGUGCUCCAAAGAAAUACGAAGUGGUCAGUGAAGAUAAUAUCAGGGGCUUUUAGAUUUGGGGGGUCAGACUCCUUCCUGAGAGAACAACAGUUAGGCCAUGCCCUGAGGGAUAAGGAGGUGUUACCCGGGAAGGAACUGCAGCAGAUGGUGCCGAGGGAAUAGCAUGCUUGAAGGCCCUGGGAUGGAAAAUGAGGGGUGUGGUCCAAGAACUGGGACGCCUGUGCUAGGAGCAUGU